rnacentral:rRNA from 1 species
AAGCAACGCGAAGAACCUUACCAGGUCUUGACAUCCCGACUGACCGCUGUGGAGACACAGCUUCUCUUCGGAGCAUUGGAGACAGGUGGUGCAUGGUUGUCGUCAGCUCGUGUCGUGAGAUGUUGGGUUAAGUCCCGCAACGAGCGCAACCCUUGUUGUCAGUUGCCAUCAUUUAGUUGGGCACUCUGGCGAGACUGCCGGUGACAAAAUCGGAGGAAGGUGGGGACGACGUCAAAUCAUCAUGCCCCUUAUGACCUGGGCUACACACGUACUACAAUGGCGAUUACAAUGGGAUGCAAUGUCGCGAGGCGGAGCCAAUCCACAAAAAUCGCCCCCAGUUCAGAUUGCAGGCUGCAACUCGCCUGCAUGAAGUCGGAAUUGCUAGUAAUGGCAGGUCAGCAUACUGCCGUGAAUACGUUCCCGGGCCUU